ACUCAAAUGAAUAGACGGGGGCCCGCACAAGCGGUGGAGCAUGUGGAUUAAUACGUCACUAACCGUAGAACCUUACCCAGGCUUGACAUCUAGGGAAUCUCUCUGAAAGGAGAGAGUGCUCGCAAGAGAGCCCUAAGACAGGUGUUGCAUGGCUGUCGUCAGCUCGUGUCGUGAGAUGUUGGGUUAAGUCCCGCAACGAGCGCAACCCUCACCGUCUGUUGCCACCACCCGCAAGGGGCUGGGCACUCUGACGGAACUGCCCGUGCAAACGGGAGGAAGGUGAGGAUGACGUCAAGUCAGCAUGGCCCUUACGCCUGGGGCUUCACACAUGCUACAAUGGCCGGUACAAAGGGUUCCGAUACCGCGAGGUGGGGGUAAUCCCAAAAAGCCGGUCUCAGUUCGGAUCGCAGGCUGCAACUCGCCUGCGUGAAGCUGGAAUCGCUAGUAACUGCCGGUCAGCUAAACGGCAGUGAAUACGUUCCCGGGCCUUGUACACACCGCCCGU
rnacentral:rRNA from 1 species